UCUCUUUUGUGUCCAGUAGGUACCUACAAUUUCCACAAGAUGAUAAAGAUUCCUAAGAAAAAUAUCAGGCAUUCAAAUGCUUCCACAAACACAAAACUGGCCUGUUUUCAUUUUCAUGCUUCGCUCAAAUGAUCUUCAAGUUGGGAAAUUUCUUGGUUUUAAGAAUAGAAGCAUUAUCCAAUGAAAACAUUGAUCUGAAAGAAACCAAGAAGGCGACCAUGGCACCCUGAAGGGCAGUGUGGUCCCCAAGAGACAGCAACAGGCCCCGCCCAUGGUAUCCUGAAGAUAGUCAAGAGCAAAGGAAAAAGGAGACUGCAGCUCUCUAACAAACAGCAGGCCAUGUGUGCUUUUCCCUCCCUCUCUCCUCUGAAGUAGGAGGAUGAGGAAAAAGCGACCAGCAGGUUGAGGAGAAGGAAGUGAGGGGGAGAAAAGGCACUGGGAGGGAGGGAGCCUGCCAGGCCUGAGCUGUGCUGAGAGCCUCCUCAGACAGCUGAGGGUCUGGCUGAAAGAUGGAGGUAGAACUGGAUGCCUCCUUUCGAGUCUGCAGAGGACCUUGCUGAGAUUUUUAUCUACUCAUUAUCUGUGAACCAGACUGAAGGGGAAAUACUGAUGUUCAAGCACAUGGGGCAGAAACAGGAGAAGGCUGGCAAUAAAGAAGAAAAGGAGGGAAAUCUGGAUCAAAACAUAUUACUCACUAAGCAGUCUAGGGAAAGUCUUCUCUUUGAUGAGUCCUUGAGCCAAAAUGAGCCAUGAGAGAAGAUCCACAUCUUCCAGGAAUGAACUUCCAUUUCAUCCUUGGGCCAUUUGGUCAUGGCUAGGAGGAGCUAUGGACAGGAUGGUCUCAAUACAAAAGAUGUGAUGGACAAAAAGGGAAAGGCAUCCCACAGAAUGGGAGAAAAUAUUUGCAAAUCAUAUAUACGAUACAGGACUUGCAUACAGAAUAUAUAAAGCAUAAGAUUCAAUAAUAAAAGGACAGGGGCCAGGGAUUUGGCUCAGUGGUGCCCCCGCCGGCCUUGCAAGCACAAGGACCUGAGUUCGAUAACCGGUACCAAAAAACAAAAAAACAAAAAAAACUCUUAAUAAAAGGACA
rnacentral:lncRNA from 1 species